rnacentral:lncRNA from 1 species
CCAUGGAGAUGAUGCCCCAAUUAUCCAUGCACAUUUCUUCUCUUUCAUAGAGAAGAUGCCUCAAUUACCCACCCCACACGUAAGAAAAAAAUAUCAUAGCAAAAAAAUAGUUUUCUCUUUUCAAAAGCCUCUCAAUCAUGAGGAUAUUUUAGUUAAUAUAUUUUAAUAUAAGAUUACCACGAUAGAGUGAAAUUGGAUAUC